AUUGAACGCUGGCGGCAGGCCUAACACAUGCAAGUCGAGCGGAGCGGCGGACGGGAGAGUAAAGCCUAGGAAUCAGCCUGGUAGUGGGGGAUAACGUCCGGAAACGGGCGCUAAUACCGCAUACUAUCAGAUGAGCCUAGUUCGGAUUAGCUAGUUGGUGGGGUAAAGGCCUACCAGGGCGACGAUCCGUAACUGGUAUGUGAGGAUGAUCAGUCACACUGGAACUGAGACACGGUCCAGACUCCUACGGGAGGCAGCAGUGGGGAAUAUUGGGCAAUGGGCGAAAGCCUGAUCCAGACAUGCCGCGUGUGUGAAGAAGGUCUUCGGAUUGUAAAGCACUUUAAGUUGGGAGGCGUUACCAACAGAAUAAGCACCGGCUAACUUCGUGCCAGCAGCCGCGGUAAUU
rnacentral:rRNA from 1 species